AAACUGAAAAUGUUAUUAAAGAUUUAGGCGUUAAAAGGGUAACGUAACUUUACCCAAAUUGCAUCGAGUACCAAAAUUGCACCUAUUUAGCACAAGAAGCAGCGGGAAUCUAAGAAGAUUACCUAGAGCCUAAACAAUUUGUAUGUUUGUGAUUUGAUACUAUGACGUCGUUAAACAUAGAAAUAUAUAUUUAGAUAUACACAAAUCUUCCGCAGUAUUUAUCUAUAAAUGAAGUGUUUACUGAAAAAAA
rnacentral:lncRNA from 1 species